GGUUUUGGGGGGAAAUGAGGGGAUUUGGGGUGAAAAAAUGGAUUAUAGGGGGGAAAUGAGGGGAUCUGGGGUGAAAUAAAGGGAUUUUGGGGUGAAAUGAGGGGAUUUUGGGUGAAGUAAAUGGAUUUUGGGAGGAAAUGAGGGGAUUUGUGGUGAAGUAAAUGGAUUUUGGGGUGAAAUGAGGGGAUUUGGGGUGAAAUAAAGGGAUUUCGGGGGGAAAUGAGGAGGUUUGGGGUGGAAUGAAGAGGUAUUGGGGUGAACCCAGGGGAUUUGGGGUGAAAUAAAGGGAUUUUUGGGGUGAAAUGAGGGGACCUGGAGAGAAUUAAAGGAAUUUUUGGGGUGAAAUGAGGGGAUUGGGGGUGAAGUAAAUGGAUUUUUGGGGUAAAUGAUGGGAUUUGGGGUGAAAUAAAUGGAUUUUAAGGGUAAAAUGAGAGGAUUUGGGGUGAAAUAAAGGGAUUUUAAGGAUGAAAUGAGGGGAUUUGGGGUGGUAUGAAGAGGUUUUGGGGUGAAAUAAAGGGAUUUUGGGGGUGAAAUGAGGGGAUUUGGGGUGAAAUAAAGGGAUUUUGGGGGGGAAAUGAGGGGAUUUGGGGUGAAAGAAAUGGAUUUUGGGGGUAAAAUGAGAGGAUUUGGGGUGAAAUAAAGGGAUUUUAAGGAUGAAAUGAGGGGAUUUGGGGUGGUAUGAAGAGGUUUUGGGGUGAAAUAAAGGGAUUUUGGGGGUGAAAUGAGGGCACCUGGAAAGAAUUAAAGGGAUUUGGGGUAAAAUGAGGGGAUGUGGGGUGAAAUAAAGGGACUUAUGGGGUGAAAUGAGGGGAUUUUAGGGGGAAACGGACCCAAUUUGGGUCGAAACGAUUGGAAUUUGGGGCAACGAAGCGGCACUGAAAGGUGUUGAAGGCAUUUUGGGGGGGAAUAAUGCGAUUUUGGGGCGGAAAAAUGCGAUUUUUUGGGAAAAAAGUGGGGAGAAUUUGGGACGCAAGGAAUGCACUGAGGGAUACGGAGAGCUUUUUGGGGUGAAAUACGUGGAUUUUGGGGACAGAACACAGGCUUGGGGGCUGGGCGGGACGUUUUGGGGUAGAAAAACGGGUUUUUGGGAAGGAAAAGUGCGCCUGAGGGCUGAAAUCGAAGGAUUUCAAGCCGGGAAGGGCGGAUUUUGGGGCGAAAAAGUGCGGUUUUGGGGCUCUUUCCCCUCCUUUCGGAUAGACCGGAAGUGGGGGCCGGAAGGGGCGGGGCUUUGCGUGGCCACGCCCCCUCCGUAAGGCCCCGCCCGCCGCCCUCCCCCCCCCCCCCCCAAUUUAUCGCCGUUAUAUCGCGAUAUCGCCCCCCCCUCCCCUUCCAC
rnacentral:lncRNA from 1 species